CCUCUAAACUUCAGAUACAAGAUACCCGUACCGCAAACCGACACAGGUAGUCGAGGAGAGAAUCCUAAGGUGCUCGAGUGAAUCAUGGCUAAGGAACUCGGCAAAAUGGCCCUGUAACUUCGGGAGAAGGGGCGCCCCUUAACGGGGGCCGCAGUGAAAAGGUCCAGGCGACUGUUUAACAAAAACACAUGGCUUUGCAAAAUCGAAAGAUGAGGUAUAAGGCCUGACACCUGCCCGGUGCUGGAAGGUUAAGAGGGGAUGUUAGUCGCAAGGCGAAGCAUUGAAUCGAAGCCCCAGUAAACGGCGGCCGUAACUAUAACGGUCCUAAGGUAGCGAAAUUCCUUGUCGGGUAAGUUCCGACCUGCACGAAUGGUGUAACGAUCUGGACGCUGUCUCAGCCAUGAGCUCGGUGAAAUUGUGGUAUCGGUGAAGACGCCGGUUACCCGCAACGGGACGGAAAGACCCCAUGCACCUUCACUACAACUUAACAUUGACAUUGGGUACAGGAUGUGUAGGAUAGGCGGGAGAUGUU
rnacentral:rRNA from 1 species